AUGCACAGCUCAUCUGACACGUAAGCUUCCUCUAUUUUGGUUAGUCAAUUUUCUGGCACAUGCAGCAGUUGUCUACCCAAAGUGGAUAAGCUCAGAUGUAACUGACUCCUCAUAAUAUCACGGGAGUAGAUAAAGGCUAGAAUAUCUCGUCCAUAAUAGCACGUCCAAUAAUCCGACAAUCUCAGAACUGUACAUUCCCAUAGUUGUUCAACUAUAUUCUCUAUAAAUAACUAAAGCCCCG
rnacentral:lncRNA from 1 species